UUACGUCCAUAUCAUGUUUAAAUACCAGUUCCUGUACGAUUACUGAAGUUAAGCAACGUCAAGCCUAGUCAGUACCUAAAUGGGUGAUCUUGUGGGAAUAAGAGGUGGUGUC